CCAAAGAGUCGUGUUGCUUGAUAGUGCAGCACUAAGUGGGUGGUAAACUCCAUCUAAAACUAAAUAUAACCAUGAGACCGAUAGUAAACAAGUACCGUGAGGGAAAGUUGAAAAGAACUCUGAAUAGAGAGUUAAAUAGUACGUGAAACUGCUUAGAGGUUAAGCCCGAUGAACCUGAAUAUCCAUUAUAGAAAAUUCAUCAUUAUGAUUUUAAUAUUAAUAAUAUUAUAAUAAUGGUGUGCAUUUUUUCUAUAACGGACAUUGUAAUCUAUUAACAUAAAUAUAUUUAUCAUAAGAUCAAUGAUGCGUAAGUUUAUUCAAAUUAUUUUGCUUGCAAUUUAACAUAGAAUAAAUGCUCUUGAUUUGAUAAAGUGUUGAUAGAUUUAUUGUAUAUAGUGCUUAAAUAUUUAUAUUUUAUAAUAGCAUAUUAAUCAUUGAUUUUUAUGUUUAUUAUAUGCACUUAUAUGAUUAACAAUGCGAAAGAUUCAGGAUACCUUCGGGACCCGUCUUGAAACACGGACCAAGGAGUCUAACAUAUUUGCAAGUUAUUGGGUAUCAAAACCUAAUAGCGAAAUUAACAUAACUUUAAUGGGAUUAGUUUUUAGAUUAUUUAUAGUCUAUUAAUUCAAUCCCGGGGCGUUCUAUAUAGUUAUGUAUAAUA
rnacentral:rRNA from 1 species